GCAUUAAUCCCCCCAGGGGAACCUGGCCCUUAAUUCGAUGGUCCACGAAACUCUUACCUUUCCUAGUUUUCUUCUAUUUGUCACAGAAAGAAGAAGUUAAUCAGCUCGCAUACCGCCGUUUUCAGUUUGUAUCGUGAGAGGAUAGAAACAGGCGACGAAGCCCCUUUUUGAGGUUCCGCUUCAAAUUCAGGUAAACGUGCGGCCAAUGGAAAGGGGAGGCUGGGUUACAAUUGAGGCUUGUAGUGGAGUGAAUACGUUAAGGCGUUAGACGAAAGCGGACUUGGAAGUAAUUACCUUGGAAACAGAGGUUGUGAAUUGAGCUCUAGUGUGUGU
rnacentral:rRNA from 1 species